AUUGAACGCUGGCGGCAGGCUUAACACAUGCAAGUCGAGCGGGGGAAGGUAGCUUGCUACCGGACCUAGCGGCGGACGGGUGAGUAAUGCUUAGGAAUCUGCCUAUUAGUGGGGGACAACAUCUCGAAAGGGAUGCUAAUACCGCAUACGUCCUACGGGAGAAAGCAGGGGAUCUUCGGACCUUGCGCUAAUAGAUGAGCCUAAGUCGGAUUAGCUAGUUGGUGGGGUAAAGGCCUACCAAGGCGACGAUCUGUAGCGGGUCUGAGAGGAUGAUCCGCCACACUGGGACUGAGCCACGGCCCAGACUCCUACGGGAGGCAGCAGUGGGGAAUAUUGGACAAUGGGGGGAACCCUGAUCCAGCCAUGCCGCGUGUGUGAAGAAGGCCUUAUGGUUGUAAAGCACUUUAAGCGAGGAGGAGGCUACUUUGGUUAAUACCUAGAGAUAGUGGACGUUACUCGCAGAAUAAGCACCGGCUAACUCUGUGCCAGCCGCCGCGGUAA
rnacentral:rRNA from 1 species